AACGAACGCUGGCGGCGUGCUUAACACAUGCAAGUCGAGCGCGAAAGGGACUUCGGUCCUGAGUAAAGUGGCGGCACGGGUGAGUAACGCGUAGAUAACCUGUCUUCAUGUCUGGAAUAAUACGCCGAAAGGGGUACUAAUACCGGAUAUUCUUGCGUUUUCAUAAGUUAUGCAAGCAAAGGUGGCCUCUGCAUAUGCUACUGCAUGAAGAGGGGUCUGCGUACCAUUAGCUAGUAGGUGGGGUAAUGGCCUACCUAGGCGACGAUGGUUAGCGGGUCUGAGAGGAUGAUCCGCCACACUGGCACUGGAACACGGGCCAGACUCCUACGGGAGGCAGCAGUGAGGAAUAUUGCGCAAUGGGGGAAACCCUGACGCAGCGACGCCGCGUGAGUGAGGAAGGCCUUCGGGUCGUAAAGCUCUGUCAAGAGGAAAGAAGUGUACAAUGGCUAAUACCUGUUGUAUUUGACGGUACCUCUAAAGGAAGCACCGGCUAACUCCGUGCCAGCCGCCGC
rnacentral:rRNA from 1 species